rnacentral:misc_RNA from 1 species
UGCAGGCACGAGAGGUAGAUUCCAG